GAUGAACGCUGGCGGCGUGCCUAAUACAUGCAAGUCGAGCGAACAGACGAGGAGCUUGCUCCUCUGACGUUAGCGGCGGACGGGUGAGUAACACGUGGAUAACCUACCUAUAAGACUGGGAUAACUUCGGGAAACCGGAGCUAAUACCGGAUAAUAUAUUGAACCGCAUGGUUCAAUAGUGAAAGACGGUUUUGCUGUCACUUAUAGAUGGAUCCGCGCCGCAUUAGCUAGUUGGUAAGGUAACGGCUUACCAAGGCAACGAUGCGUAGCCGACCUGAGAGGGGGGUCGGCCCAACCUGAACUGGGACCAGGUUCCGGCCCCCAAGGGAGGGCACCGUUGGGGAUCUUUCGGAAUGGGCGGAAGCCUGGCCGGGCAACGGCGCGUUGGUUAAUGAAGUCUUCGGGACGGAAAACCUCGUUUAUAGGGGAAAACAAAUUUUGAAGGUACCAAGCCCGGCUUGGCGGUACCCAAUCAGAAAGCCACGGCUAACUACGUG
rnacentral:rRNA from 1 species